UAUAUCUGGACUCUGUCUUGCUGUGGAGCGUCAGUGUGUUGUGCACUCCUGUGGAGCUAACUCGUGCUGCUAAGACAGACUAACCAGCUUGUCACAAAUCUGACUAGCCUCCGGUCUCAAGCUAGGCGCAAGCCUCCACAGAUGCUAUACCUGUAUACCUAAGCACUUUGGCCACUUUGUUUCUGGGUGCUGCCCCUUGCCUCUCCGAUGGUUGGGGACUGUGUGAAUCCCAUCUGCAGCGGUUUCUUAUUUUUUCCUGCCUAGGGUACCCUUGUGGCUGUCAACUCGUGUUCAUCCGGCCUGAUCUUUCAGGCAUGUGAUGGUAUCAGGGUAUUAUACACCCUGUUGUCUUCUUACUUCCACUACGGACCAGCAGGUGGGCAUUAUGUGAUAUACACUGACAGAGCGACUUUAUUUAUUGUUUAUGUAUAUCUAAUGUAUUUGUGUACAAAUUAUUAAUUUUCUUUUUCUCUGUAUGUCAUUAUCAGAAUCCAAACUCUGA